CCUAAAUACCUCUUCGUCGAAGUAUGAUGUCUUCCACCUACACAGAUAAAACAAAACGUGUAAACUUCCGCUAAAAAUGAUGCACAUAAAGGGAAUGCGAGCAUAAGCACAAAUUUACGCGUGAGCUGAAUUUCUCAUUACUGAUUCCUCAUAUACGUGUAAAUUUCAUGCAUCGCGGAAUGACUACUGGUCGGCAUAUUCACCACACAUAUUCACCACACAAUUGAAAUGAUGUUUGCGAAAUUCUUCGUCCAAGUGUCUAGGAAACAACAAAGAAAUACACAAUUUUCGGCAAAACCGUUUAUCUUUAUUUGACACUGAAAUGCAUUGUUAGGAAGUGCAUAUAUUGCAAUCGUAUCAAUCGUAUCUUAGAUCAUUUUCUACGGCUGAUAUUUCGUCUUGGAUAGCUAUCCGUGAGCGGCGCCGGGAAGCUGAAAUGCAAUCAAUUGGAAAAAAAAGUUCCAUCACACUGCUUUUCUGUUCAAAUAACACAAUUUCAUAAUCUUACCGAUAGUUUACUUACAGUAAACACUGUUCACCUGUCUCGUAGCGUUCACCAACUUGAAAUUGAAGAUAAAUUACCACUUAGCACUGGUUAAAUCUGCAAAUUUGUACGAGAAAUUUCACGACUUGCGCAAGGGCAAUAUGGCUGACUGUGAACAUGCCGGCUGGAGUUGUCAUAGCUACGUCAAUGAAAAUUACACGAUGUCAUGUAAAUCUAUAUAUAUAAAAAUGAAUUUCCGUCUGUCUGUCUGUCUGUCUGUCUGUCUGUCUGUCUGUCUGUCUGUCUGUCUGUCUGACCGCUAUGCAUUCGGAAACUACUGAACCGAUCGGUGUGAAAUUUUGUAUGUGGGUAUGUUUGAGGCCGGGGAAGGUUCUUAGCUUGGUGUGAGAUCUCUCCGGUCUCUGGAACGGGAGGCUCCCAUGCAGAUGAGUCUUCGGGGCACUACUCUAAGGAGCUGUGUGUCAAAAAACACAGUAGGCAGGCAGUACGACGAUUGCCGGGACAGCUACCUAUGUGCAAUAAACAUUUCAAAAGUGGUUCAUUUUUUAAAACUAAAGGCACACGAAAUGGAACGUGAAACCCGCUUUUGACCCCGGGAGAAUCUUGACGCUCCAGGGGGAAACUUCACUAGGCCCCAAGCAGCUGGUCUGAGCCGCGGCCGCUUUCGGGGUGGGCACAGAAGGCUUCUUAUGCUCCCGGGUCCCAGGGCGUUGGGGGUAAUGCGACGUGAGUGGUGUCCAGUAACUGGCACCACGUAGAACUUGACGGUCCGGCGAAGACGACGCUGGACUCCUCUGGACUCGAGGCAGAAUACAUGGUCUGGUGCUGUAGGUCGGACUUCUGGACAACACGAGGCAUGGAUUCUUCCAGACAAACUAUUUGCUAAAAGCCCAGAAUGCAACGGGACUCCAGACGAAGUUCAGGUGGCCAAUUAUUUCACGUGAGUGGUAAAGGCUUCUGGUACCAAACCUUUCGGGAUUAUUUUAAAAAUGACUCCAAGCACUCUGCUUGGGAUUCCUCCAGAAAUUUCUUCGGGAGUUGUUCCAGGAUUCCUCUGUGAAUUCCUUCAGGGAUUCGUCUAAAAAUUCCUACAGGGAUUCGUCUAGGAAUUCCUCUAUAAAGUCCGC